rnacentral:lncRNA from 1 species
UCUUGUUAAUAUUAAAAAAAUAAGUGGGGGAUUGAUGGGGCAUUUUUUAAUACAUAAUAUUUUAUUUUAAUAUAUUAUCCUAAAAGCUUCCUACACUAUCUUAUCUUUAGCUUUUUCACUUUAAUAAAGAUGCAUAAAGUAUUAUCUAUGAUAGGAAUGACUUUAACAUCCACAAAGUCUUGUCUAGUGCAUUCAAUGAUUUCAUUACAUUCAUUGUGUAAGCAUUUCUUCUAUAUAAAAGAAGAAUGCAUGCACGGCAAGAGUAGAAAACAGAGAAGCAAAAAACUUGUGUGCUUCCAAUAACAUAGUUAUUAAAAAGAGAGUUUAUUAGUUAAGGGAGGUGUUAUUUUUUUGGAGCUUUGAACUCAACUCUUAUCCAGAUUUGUUUGAGUUAUUGAGAUUAGGCUAUUGUAGCCUGGAGUAGAUAAGUCAAAGAGUAUUUAGACCGGAGAAAUAAUUGUCGUAGUGGGCUUGAAUCUCCUUAAAGAGAGCGAGAUUUCUACGCCUCAGUCGUUGAAGAAGAAAUAUUUUUUUUUAACUCAUUUGUAGUUUUCAGUUGUAAUCAGUUGUAAUAUUUAUUGCAAUUUUAUUGUAAUUUCACCAAUAAUUUAUAUGGUAGAGUAUUAGUUAUUUAAUUACUUUGUCUUUGUUUUCAAUUAUUUUAUGUGAAAUAGUGAUUGAUUAUGUACAUAAAGUGAUUUAUUUUUGAAGUGUUGUCGUGAGUUACUAAUUCUUUGACAGAGAAGUUCAACGAAGAAAUGAAGUUGUACAACAUAAAAUAAUUUACUUUUUAGAGUUUCCGGUAAUAAAGUGGUUUUUUUUACUUUUCUAUUUUCUUAAUUGUUAGAGUAACAUCGCAUUUAAGUCCUUCAAGAUGUCAAUGCUCUCUCAUUAUUUCAGCAAAUUAAAUUAAUUCACUAUAAACAAUUUACUGGUAGUUACUAUUUGCUUAUAUAUCGAGUAAAUUCCUCGAAUUGUCACUGAACUUAUAGAAGUAUCCCACCAAAGUAACUUUUGAAUUUUUUCGGACUAUAUUGUCACUCAACUUGUAGAAACAUCUCACUAAAGUAACUUUUUAAUUUUUUUUUGGAUAAUAUUGUCACUUAACUACACAUAUAUUUCCAACAGGAUGAAAACUAACGAAAAAUUUAAAUUUUUAAUGAAAUUUUAUUCCUCUUUUUUUUUUGGUAAAUUUUAGGGGUUGAGAAUCACCCCAGGCUUUAUUAUUAAUCAUAAAAGAAUUUAUACAAUGAGGGAGGCAUAAACCUGACUUCAAGAUUGGCAACAACUGUGAAUGAAUGAAACUAGUACAACUGUGAGAUUAUACUAUUUGAUUAUAUCUAUCAAGACAUAAAUUCACUAAGGUGGUUCCUGAAGUUUAUUUAGUUUCCUCCUUCUGAAACUUGGUAGUCCAUUUUUAUCAAGUUUGAAGUAUCCUGUUGCUUCUGAAGGAAGUUAAUUUAUAUUUUUAGAUCAAAUAACUAUCAAUUAUAAAAAAUUUAUUGAAUUCAUAUUAAAUGUGACAUUAAUUAAAAUAAAUUAUAUUUAUAUAAUUUGAGUAAAAUAAUGGUGCAAUCUUUUGUUAAAAAGUGAUACACGUAUCUUUUAUUUUUAAUGAAAGUUUAUAUAUUUAUCAUUUUAAUUUUCUUUUUAUUUA